rnacentral:lncRNA from 1 species
AUCAACAAACAUCUUCUUUGAUGGAAAACAUAGAGUGUUUGACAACAAGCCUUGCUGCUGCCUCUAGUGAGAUGCUUGAGAAUCCUGCCUUUGGAGAUAUACAAAACCUUGAAGGUAGUGAGGACACUCACAGGAUUGACGAUGGCAAUGAGAAUGUCAGUCUCGCCUCUUGUCAGGGAAAUUUCUCAGCACCGCUGCAAGAGGACAACAACUUGGUAGAGAAUGUGGCAGAGGUCACUCAGGAUGAUAUGCAAACAAUUGAAGGUAUACAUAACCUUGAAGGUAUUGAUGACACUGACAGGAUUGGUCAUGGCAAUGAGAACAACAACUUGGUAGAGAAUGUGGCAGAGGUCACUCAGGAUGAUAUGCAAACAAUUGAAGGUAUACAUAACCUUGAAGGUAUUGAUGACACUGACAGGAUUGGUCAUGGCAAUGAGAACGGUAACCUUGCCUCGUGUCAGGAAAAUUUAUCUGCAUCAUUGCAAGAAGACCAUGCUUUGUUAGGGAAUGGAUUACAUCAAGAUUUGCAAAAGACUGAGGCCACAGAGAAUGAUAUGCAAAUGUUUGGUGAUCAUGUGAUAUUAGUAGAAUCAGAUGAACAGCAAGCUGCAAAGAGGCCCAGGCUUUUCCCUCCGCAUGAAGUUGAUGGAGAAAUCACCAGAAGCCUGUCAAAGGAUCUGAAUUUGUAAUUUAGACUGGAGAUGGGAAUUUCCCACUUAUUUUGUUUACAUAUAAUUGUUUCCCGGGAUCUCACUAGAUGUUGAUGAAUCAAUCUGUGAAUAGCGUGUCACGUCUCUGUAUUGACAAUAACUGGUGGACGGCUGUAGGAAAAUUGUUUAGGUGCAGUUGCUGUCAUGGUGAUUAGUGAUUGGUUGAAGUUCUAUAUUGAGGCCUGCCAAGCAAAUAUAUAAUCGAGCAUAUCUAUAUUUGCCGGCAUUUGAUUUGUUCUGCAAUUUGUCUGGUAUGCGUGGAAUAUUUGAUUACUUAAUUGCUUUGUCGUUUCGUUUCACUUCGCUCAUAGAGCAAGUUUAAACCAUAUACAACUGGAAACUCUCUAUGGAAAAGGGCUGCUUUUGUUACUAAUUCUUGUAGCUUACGUGUUCUUGUAGCUUACCAGCAAGAGCAGUGAUUGCAUCGGAGGCAUUUAGUUGCAGCAGGUUGCAUCGGCAAUGCUCAAAGCUUGAGGAUUGAGGUCGCUGUUAUCAUGUCUCAAAAGUAAUGCAGAUCUCCACUCGAAUGGGCCUAGCUAAAUUAAGUAAAUGGGCCGGAUCGCAUUAGGUUCAAUGAAAUGAGAACAUAUAUAUAUAUAUUCCUUAUGUAAAUAAAUACAUAGGUGUCUUGAUUAAAAAACAAUAGGGUUUCCUUUCCACGUUACCAGUCGUGUUUGAACCUAAAUGUAGAUUUUGAAAAACAAAUUCCUCAGGAUAAUAUGCUUUUAGUUGUUCUAUGAGGGGAAAAAAACAAAUCUUGAU